rnacentral:rRNA from 1 species
GUGGGGAAUUUUGGACAAUGGGCGCAAGCCUGAUCCAGCCAUGCCGCGUGUGUGAAGAAGGUCUUCGGAUUGUAAAGCACUUUAAGUUGGGAGGAAGGGCAGUAAGUUAAUACCUUGCUGUUUUGACGUUACCGACAGAAUAAGCACCGGCUAACUUCGUGCCAGCAGCCGCGGUAAUACGAAGGGUGCAAGCGUUAAUCGGAAUUACUGGGCGUAAAGCGCGCGUAGGUGGUUUUGUAAGUUGGAGGUGAAAUCCCCGGGCUCAACCUGGGAACUGCCUCCAAAACUGCAUGACUAGAGUACGGUAGAGGGUAGUGGAAUUUCCUGUGUAGCGGUGAAAUGCGUAGAUAUAGGAAGGAACACCAGUGGCGAAGGCGACUACCUGGACUGAUACUGACACUGAGGUGCGAAAGCGUGGGGAGCAAACAGGAUUAGAUACCCCGGUAGUCC